UACAACUGGAAGUUCAGUAAAAGCAAUUCCACAAGGAGCCAAAUUUAUACAGCCUGGGCAUCAGAUCUGGCGGUCUGGAUAGACCCACAGUUAAAAUUGGAUAUGUGGCCCAACCCUCCAGCAAGCUCAUAGAAUAUUGCAAAUUCAGCCUAUUUAAGACUGUUAGCAAGAAUCAGGAGACAAAAGUGACAUUUAUCUUAAAUUUUCAACCCUAGUGAAUUUUCCUGGUAGGCUGGGUUGGUUUUACACUUCUUUAACAGAUGAAGAAACUCAGGCUCAGAGAGCCUAUUUACGUGACCAGAAAAUAUCAGAGCCAGCUCUAAAUCGAUGUCUUAGGCAUCCCUUCCUCAGCCUUGCCCACCACACAUGCUUCAACAAAAGCGUUUAUGCCCUUAGGAUCUCUCUGCGGAUGGUGGGCCGCAGUACCCAGGAGGGUGUUGUCCUACACACUUGAGGAGAGCUAGUGAGAAGGGGAACUAGGCCCAGCCAGUGAGGAGGCACACUUUUUCCAGAGGUCCAUUGUAAUCCAACCCCCCACCCCUCUUCCUGGCACAACUCCUUGUACCCCAGGCAGGGAAGUAAGGCUAACAUUACACAGAUGGGGAAAUACUUCCACCUCCAAACAUAAAAAUGAUCUUGCAGCAUACACUUGACUUCACUCAUUUAUUCACUUUUCACUACAAGGUGGGAAUAGGUGGGCCCUCAGCUCGGGGAGUUCUGGGAGCUUUGCUAGAGGAGGAGAGGAAAACGGGAAAGUGGGGCCUUAUUGCAGGGUAGGCUUCUAAGGGAAAGAAGAUGGGGAGAAGAAAGGAGAGAGGAAACACGGAUCCAGGCCCGUCUUCCAUCUCUCGUCCAGGCUUCCCAAGCGCAAGUAGAAAGAGUGACAGGACACUCACACAGACAUGUCCUUGAUCCCUUCUCGUCCUUCCCCCACCAUCCAGCAAUAACGUGAGAGAAAUCAAAGAAGUACAGGAGGCGGGCAGCGGACAGUCUUGGUAAGGAAAAAAAAAAAAAAAACAGGUGCACUGGGCUCCAACGCACAGCUGAGACCUCCCUCCUCCCGGCUGGCGGCGGCGGGCGCAGGGAGGAGAGCGGCGCGAGCGCACGCGGGCCGGCCGCCGGGCCGUGCGGCGCCCUCAGCUGAGGACUGCCCUCUUCUUCCCGCCGCAGCCGCGCUCCGCCGCUUUCCGGCCCGGGCCGCUGUCCCCGCUGCCGCUGCUGCUGCUGGCGGGCGGGCGCAGCACGGUCCUCCGCACCACGGUCCUCCGCACGCGGUCCUCGGGCUCGCGCACGCGCGGAGCCGCCUGCAGCAGGAACUCGCCGCCGCGGUAGGUGACGCGCACGUCGGUGCGCGGGUACGUGCCGUACACGCGCCGCAGCUCCCGCCGCACAAAGUCGGGCAGCUCCAGGCGCGGACCCAGCGCACGCACCACGUGGCCCCAGCGCAGCUCAGCCUGUAGGCGGCCGCCCUCCGGCCACGGCGCCGCGCUCUCGGCCGCCGCCAUCCCUGCCGCUGCGGGCGCCUGAGGCGACGGCCCCAGGUAGCCGGGGGCGGCGUAGGCCUGCGGGAAGACCCACAAGGGCGGCACGGCCCCCAGGGGCGCACCCGGGCCGUGGAAGCAGUGGUAUUCCCGCGGGGCGCCCCACUCCCCCGCUCUCAGGCUCCGGGGCCGGCUGCAGAAGUUGUGGGCCUGGAUGGGGGGCAGCAGCAGAGGGGCCGGCAGGUAGGUGUAGGUGAGGGGCUGCAGCGGAGGCCAGAUGCCGUCCCCGGGCGCCAGGCAGCUGAACGAGUACAUGGUCUGAAGCUCAGGCGGCGGGCAUUUUUACUGCGGCCUGGGCCUGGUCCACACCUGUGGUGGGGGUGUGUGUGGAUACACUUUGUUCUUACCUCCGCCAUGCGUCCUUGCCGCCUGCUAACCCAGGGCUCCGGGUCACAGCAGGAGCCCGUGCGCUGCCUAGUGGCUUUGGGGAACUCCCCUUUAGGUGUUCAGCUCCCACCUUACCUGUUGUCCCAAGGCUGGGCCCGAACCCCAGGCUCCCAGCAGGCAAUGAGGACCCAAGGCUUUUUCAAGCCCUCAGCCCUGAAAUGCUCCUCCCAGGUAGCUCCCCGCUCGCUUGUCUCCUUCAGCCCCGAGAAACUGGUCCCCAACAUUUGGGGGAGCCGGAGAGGUCCAGAGCAGGAUUCCCCUCCACCACUUUUUAGUUGAACUCCCCUCCAUGGCCUGCCUCAGCCACACCUCCCGGUUUCCAGGCAAAGGGAAACACCUUGAGCUGGCCAGGAGCCAGCCAGCCUUUGUCUACAUUGGAUGAGCCUGCUGGCUCCAAGCUAGACGCUGAGGCCUUUACUCAUGGUUGGCUUCACCACAACUUGCCCACAUUCACCCAGCCAGUUACGAUCCAAUGUAAUCACAAGAGUCUUUAAAUGUCGAAGAGGGAGGCCAAAGAGUCGGAGUGAUGUAACAUGAGCGUUGACCAGCCAUUGCUGGCUUUGAAGAUGGAAGAGGGGCGCGAGCUGAGGAGUGCAGGCAGCCUCUAGAAGCUGGAAAAGGGGAAAAAAUGGAUUCUUCCCUGGAGCCUCCAGAAAGGAACGCAGUCCUGCCAACACUUUAAUUUUCGCCAGUGAGACCCAUUUCAGACUUCUGACCUCCACAACUGUAAGAUAAUAAAUUUGUAUUGUUUUAAGCCACUAGGUUUGUGGUAAUUUGUUACAGCACCAAUACGAAAUCCAUACAGCACCUCUCCACUCCUAUUUAUAACUUUGCCCUUCCCCCCAAAUCCCAACACCUGAGCAGUGUCCAAGCCUACCUAUAGACUGACCUCAACCCAGCCUGGAGCUCAAUAAUGGGCCCCUUGGGACUGGCCAGUUUCUCCACCUGUUCCUGCUCUCCCAGGUGGAUCUGGUCACACCUAGGUGGGAGGUGGGGAGGGUGUGAGACCAAGAUGGAACCUGGGAGGGUGAGAAACCUGUAUUUUCAUAUUUGACCCUACAUGCUUGCUGAAGACCUUUGCUGGUCUGGGGAGGAAGUCUGGCAAAAAGAGAAAAAUAAGGCCCAAGCUGUGAGUUUCUCCACAUUAGUUCAUCCUUGAUUCUAGUUAUAGUCCCCAGAUUUUUGGGGUCCCACAGCUUAUUCUCAGUAAAGUGAUCCUGGGGGAGUUGGCUCUAUUUUAUCACUAAUUAGUCAAUGAUUUAGGGCUAAACCAAUCAGCACUGUCAUCCCUCAGGCCGUUGUGAUUGCUUUGGGGUAGCCAUGUGACUCAAUUUGGGCUAACGGGAGCCAAGCCCAGGACUUUGUUCUCUUGUUGGGUGGAGAGGGAAGUGCUCUUUUCCUCCAGGACAGAAGUCUGAAAGAAAGCAUUCUGGAUUGAGAGGUGAAGGCCUGACUGAGCAUGGAGCCACAGAAGAAGUGGAGCCAGGGGACAGAGAGAGAAAUUGGGUCCUGAUUACAUCGUUUGAGUCCUGGACUUUAAAGUUACACGAACCAAUAAAUUCCUUUUUUGUUUAAUCUAGCUUGAGUGGAGUCUUCUGUUGCUUGCAUCCAUGAUACACCCC
ensembl:lncRNA